rnacentral:rRNA from 1 species
GGAUGCGAUCAUACCAGCACUAAUGCACUGGAUCCCAUCAGAACUCCGAAGUUAAGCGUGCUUGGCGAGAGUAGUACUAGGAUGGGUGACCUCCUAGGAAGUCCUCGUGUUGCAUUCC